AUACGGAGGGUGCAAGCGUUACUCAGAAUCACUGGGCGUAAAGCGCGCGCAGGCGGGCUGAUAAGUUGGAUGUGAAAGCCUACGGCUCAACCGUAGAACUGCAUCCAAAACUGUCAGUCUAGAGUCUGGGAGGGGAAGAUGGAAUUAGUUGUGUAGGGGUAAAAUCCGUAGAGAUAACUAGGAAUACCAAAAGCGAAGGCGAUCUUCUGGAACAGUACUGACGCUGAGGCGCGAAAGCGUGGGGAGCAAACAGGAUUAGAAACCCUAGUAGUCC
rnacentral:rRNA from 1 species